rnacentral:rRNA from 1 species
UAGUUCGUGGAGUGAUCUGUCUGCUUAAUUGCGUUUCAAAAUUUAAACCUGAGCGACAAGGUGCUGCUAUCGAAACUGUCUUUGAGUGUGAACUAUAAGUCUUUUGACUUAUGACCAUCACUCUAGACGUUUAUGUUUUGGUGUUGGCCCUUGAUGCUCAUUUGAACGCAACGGACGUGAUUGCAACCCCUUGUUGAGAUUUAUCCGAUCUCUACGUUCACUGAACCACACUCUUUAGCGAGAGCAGUGGGGAUGUGGAUAAACUCGGGGGACUGCUGACUAUAAACUUUUCUCAAACCAGAGGAAGGUUGCGGCAAUAACAGGUCUGUGAUGCCCUCAGAUGUUCCGGGCUGCACACGUGCUACAUUUAGUAGCGCAGUGUGCACAUUAAUAGAGUGAUAGGUUCCGUGGUUUGUACAUUUUAAGGGCUCGUCCUAGUAACCAAAGCUCCACGGGACAUAUCAACCUUCCCCUUACAGGGCGGGUAACCUCUUCGAAGUGCUGGCAUGAUUUCCCUAGUUUUGGCAUUUGAAUCCUUGUCGCAGCAGCCCUGAGACGUAGUGAACGCUGCAAAGUGAUUCCAGUCUUAGGUUUGCGACACAUGCAAUUCCUGGUUGACUCAUCGUGGG